rnacentral:rRNA from 1 species
GACGAACGCUGGCGGCGUGCCUAACACAUGCAAGUCGAGCGAUGAAAUUUUCUUCGGAAAAUGGAUUAGCGGCGGACGGGUGAGUAACACGUGGGUAACCUGCCCUAUAGAGAGGGAUAGCCUUCCGAAAGGAAGAUUAAUACCUCAUAAUAUCCUAGUAUCGCAUGAUACAUGGAUUAAAGGAGCAAUCCGCUAUAGGAUGGACCCGCGGCGCAUUAGCUAGUUGGUGAGGUAACGGCUCACCAAGGCGACGAUGCGUAGCCGACCUGAGAGGGUGAUCGGCCACAUUGGGACUGAGACACGGCCCAGACUCCUACGGGAGGCAGCAGUGGGGAAUAUUGCACAAUGGGGGAAACCCUGAUGCAGCAACGCCGCGUGAGUGAUGACGGUCUUCGGAUUGUAAAGCUCUGUCUUUUAGGGACGAUAAUGACGGUACCU